UAUUUUUGUGUGGGCCCUAAUGACUAUAUGCUAUCAAGUCUUGUUCAUGUUUGGUAUUAAAGAUCUAGGUAGACUAUAUAUAGUAUCAUCAUUAAUAUGGUGGAUCAAGUGAAGAGUGUGAGCUAGAGAACUUGGUGCUGCCAUCAUCAGCUCGUCGACAAUGACACUAUAACACGAGAAAUUUAAUAUGUAUAGAUCUACACGUAUUUAGAAUGUCUACUUCUCUGUACAGGAGCAAUGGCUAAUAUCCAGCUAUCCCAACAGUGCUCCUCUUGGCUAUACUAACGGACGAGACUGGACAGUUUGAGGACUGGAGUAUGACCUGCUCAUUCGAGCGUUGCUGGGUAGCUCAGAGACAUCAAGAGAAUCUACGUUUUCUCAAGCAAAAUUUAACUGAGUUACGAGUUGGGGCCUAGAAUCAGAGAAGUCCAGCAGCCUGCUAAAUCUUUUUGAAACGUAAUUUGAAGGCAUUCAAUCAUCCUGAAGUUUCCCUGGGUCACUGUAAUCGUGCUGCAGCACAACUGGCAACUCCCCAGGCCCUUGUGAAGCAGCUCCCUAUGUGCAUCUUUUGUGUACUCACUCUGUGCAUUUUCUGUGUACAAAUUUAGAUUAUUGAUUUAUUAAAUAUUUUUGCCGACCACAAA